CCCUUAGACGUUCUGGGCCGCACGCGCGCUACACUGAUGCAUGCAACGAGUUCUAUCCUUGGCCGGAAGGCCUGGGUAAUCUGUGAACGUGCAUCGUGAUAGGGAUAGAUUAUUGCAAUUAUUAAUCUUGAACGAGGAAUUCCUAGUAAACGCAAGUCAUCAGCUUGCAUUGAUUACGUCCCUGCCCUUUGUACACACCGCCCGUCGCACCUACCGAUCGAAGGUAAUGAUGAGCCCUCAGGAUUGUGGCCUCGUCGCGUCAGCGUCUUGGCUGCGAGAAUCUGUGCAAAUCCCUACCUUUAGAGGAAGGUGAAGUCGUAACA
rnacentral:rRNA from 1 species